rnacentral:rRNA from 1 species
AGUCCACACAGUAAACGAUGAAUACUCGCUGUUUGCGAUAUACAGUAAGCGGCCAAGCGAAAGCAUUAAGUAUUCCACCUGGGGAGUACGCCGGCAACGGUGAAACUCAAAGGAAUUGACGGGGGCCCGCACAAGCGGAGGAACAUGUGGUUUAAUUCGAUGAUACGCGAGGAACCUUACCCGGGCUUAAAUUGCAGUGGAAUGAUGUGGAAACAUGUCAGUGAGCAAUCACCGCUGUGAAGGUGCUGCAUGGUUGUCGUCAGCUCGUGCCGUGAGGUGUCGGCUUAAGUGCCAUAACGAGCGCAACCCUUAUCUUCAGUUACUAACAGGUCAUGCUGAGGACUCUGGAGAGACUGCCGUCGUAAGAUGUGAGGAAGGUGGGGAUGACGUCAAAUCAGCACGGCCCUUACGUCCGGGGCUACACACGUGUUACAAUGGGGGGUACAGAAGGCAGCUAGCGGGUGACCGUAUGCUAAUCCCAAAAUCCUCUCUCAGUUCGGAUCGAAGUCUGCAACCCGACUUCGUGAAGCUGGAUUCGCUAGUAAUCGCGCAUCAGCCACGGCGCGGUGAAUACGUUCCCGGGCCUUGUACACACCGCCCGUCAAGCCAUGGGAGCCGGGGGUACCUGAAGUACGUAACCGCAAGGAUCGUCCUAGGGUAAAACUGGUGACUGGGGCUAAGUCGUAACAAGGUAGCCGUACCGGAAGGUGCGGCUG